AACGAACGCUGGCGGCAGGCCUAACACAUGCAAGUCGAGCGCGCCCUUCGGGGUGAGCGGCGGACGGGUGAGUAACGCGUGGGAACGUGCCCUUUUCUACGGAAUAGCCUCGGGAAACUGAGAGUAAUACCGUGUACGCACUUUGGGGGAAAGAUUUAUCGGAAAAGGAUCGGCCCGCGUUGGAUUAGGUAGUUGGUGGGGUAAUGGCCUACCAAGCCGACGAUCCAUAGCUGGUUUGAGAGGAUGAUCAGCCACACUGGGACUGAGACACGGCCCAGACUCCUACGGGAGGCAGCAGUGGGGAAUCUUAGACAAUGGGGGCAACCCUGAUCUAGCCAUGCCGCGUGAGUGAUGAAGGCCUUAGGGUUGUAAAGCUCUUUCAGCUGGGAAGAUAAUGACGGUACCAGCAGAAGAAGCCCCGGCUAACUCCGUG
rnacentral:rRNA from 1 species